rnacentral:rRNA from 1 species
GACGAACGCUGGCGGCGUGCUUAAUACAUGCAAGUCGAGCGGACAGGCCCUGCUUUUGUGGGGUGCUCGAGUGGGGAAGGGGUGAGUAACACGUGAGUAAAACGCCCUUGUCUUUGGGAUAACUUCAGGGAACUGGGGAUAAUAUCGGAUAGGAGCUCCUGCUGCAUGGUGGGGAUUGGAGAGUUUCGGCGGUUGGGGAUGGUCUCGCGGCUUCUCAGCUGGUUGGGGGGGUAGUGGCUUACCAAGGCUUUGAAGGGUAGCCGGCCUGAGAGGGUGACCGGCGACAAUGGGACUGCGAUACGGACCAGACUCCUACGGGAGGCAGCAGGGGGGAACAUUGCACAAUGGCCGGAAGCCUGAUGCAGCAACCCCGCGUGCGGGAUGACGUCCUUCUGGGUGUAAACCACUUUCGCCUUUGACGAAGAGUGAGUGACGGUAACGAGUAAAGAAGCAACGGCUAACUACGUG